UACGUAGGGGGCAAGCGUUGUCCGGAAUCAUUGGGCGUAAAGAGCGCGUAGGCGGCCCGGUAAGUCCGCUGUGAAAGUCCAGGGCUCAACCCUGGGAUGCCGGUGGAUACUGUCGGGCUCGAGUCCGGAAGAGGAGUGUGGAAUUCCUGGUGUAGCGGUGAAAUGCGCAGAUAUCAGGAGGAACACCAGCGGCGAAGGCAGCUCGCUGGGACGGUACUGACGCUGAGGCGCGAAAGCGUGGGGAGCGAACAGG
rnacentral:rRNA from 1 species